UCCAAAGCCUUUAAAUAAUCUCUAUUCUUAAUACUUUUUCUCUUGUAGUUUUUUUCCCUCCACACUCAAGGAUUCAAUAAAUAACACCCAAAUUUAUAUAACUGAGCCUGACCUAAAGUUCAUUUCUGAUUUUCAGUUUCAAACCAGGCAUUUCUAAAUGUAUUCAAAGGGACUGGCCCCAUGGCGUAGUGGUUAACUUUAGUGUGCUCCACUUCAGCAGCCCGGGUUUGCAGCUUUGGAUCCCAGGUACGUACCUACACCACCUGUCAGCCAUGCUGUGGCAGCAACCCACAUAUAAAAUAGAGGAAGAUUGGCAACAGAUGUUAGCUCAGAGGCAAUCUUCCUCAGCAAAAAAACAAAAAAAAAGGCUGUGGGACAGUUCAAGAUGGCUAAUAAAGGGGUAACUGGAGGCCCUGAAAGGAGAGAGAGUGUGGGAGAACUAUUUGAAGAAAUAAUGGCCAAAAACAUUCCAGAUUUGAGGAAGACUGUAAACUCAAAGAUUCAAGAAGCUCAACAAACCUCAAGGACAAGAAACAUGAAAAGUACACCAAGGGACAUCAUAAUCAGAUUUCUCAAAAUCAGUAAUAAAAAGAAAAUCUUAAAAGCAGCCAGAGAAAAAAGACAUGUUACAUACAGAGAAACAAAGAUGACCUCAGACUUCUGAUUGAAAACAAUGGAACAUGGGCCGGCCCCAUGGCCAAGUGGUUAAGUUCAUGCGCUCUGCUUCAGCAGCCCAGGGUUUGGAUCCUGGGCGAGGACAUGACACCGCUCAUUAGGCCAUGUUGAAGUGGCAUCCCACAUGCCACAACUAGAAGGACCCACAACUAAAAUAUAGAACUAUGUGCUAGGGGGAUUUGGGGAGAAAAAGCAGGAGAAAAAAAAAAAAGAUUGGCAACAGUUGUUAGCUCAGGUGCCAAUCUUUAAAAAAGAAAAUAAGGGGGAUUGGGUGUCUGUUGGGUAAUUUGCAGUUUAAAAUAUGGCAGUCAAGGUAGGCCUCAUUGAGAAGGUGACACUUCAGCAAAGACUUGAAAGAGGUGAGGGAGUGGGCCAUGGGAAGAUCUGGGGAAAGAGCUGACCAAGCAGAGGAAAAAGUCAUGGCGGAGCCCCCAAGGCAGGAGUGUGCCUAGCAUGUUCAAGAAAUAGCAAAAUGGCCUGGCUGGCUGGGGCAGAGUGAGCAGAGAAGCCAUUGCAGAGCCCAUUUGUUUGCUGGUUUGAGAGUAGACUAAGGGAAGCCAGAGUGGCAGAGGCAGGCCACUUUGGAGGCUAACUGGUAAUCCAGGCCAGAGGCAGUGGAGGCUGGGACCAGGGGUGGUCGUGGUUGAUAUUGAGAGGGGUGAGAGAACCCUAGAUAUAUUCAGAAGGCCAAGCCAAUAGGAUUUCCCAGUGGAUCAGAUGUGACUUGUGGGAGAAGUGGAGGAGUCAAGAAAGCCUAAAGUAGGCAUAAGCAAUUGGAGGAUGGAAAUGCUGUUACCUGAGAUGAGAAAGCUGGGGAGGAGCAGAUUUUGAAAGGAAGAUCAGCAGUUCAGUUUUGAACAUGUUGGGUGUGAGAUGUCUAUUAGGCAUUUAGAUGAAAUGUCCAGGAAGCACGUUGAAUAAUCAAAUCAGGAGAGAGAUGUGAGCUGCCCACAAGUAUUUGGCAGUCAUUAGCUGAUAGGUGGUAUUUAAAGCCUGGAUACCUGACCAAGGGAGUGAGUGUGAACAGUGGGACAAUCCAGGAAGUUGGAGAGGAGAAGAGGAAUAUUUGUGGGUGACUUAGAGCAUACCUUCGUUUUGCAACUUAAUUCAUCUAGAGUAUUCACUGUAGGCCAAACAUUGUUUUCC
rnacentral:lncRNA from 1 species